rnacentral:snRNA from 1 species
AUCGCUUCUCGGCCUUGUGGCUAAGAUCGAGUGUAGUAUCUGUUCUUGUCAGUUUAACAUCUGAUCCGUCCUCUAUCCGAGGACAGUAUAUUAAAUGCAUUUUUGGAACAGGGAGAUGGAAUAGGGGCUGCUCCGUCCACUCCACGCAUCAACCUGGUAUUGCAGUGCCUCCAGGAACAGUGCACCAAAA